rnacentral:tRNA from 6 species
GCCUUCAUCGUUCAAUGGAUAGGACGUAACUUUGCGGAAGUUAAAAUGUAGGUUCGAUUCCUACUGAGGGCACAA